AUAAGAAACAUCAUGAAGUAAACUAGUAAAAAGCCUGCAAGGUAUAGAGCAACCACACUAUUCAAUAAACUAAGAAAUGAAAAACCAAAAAGAGAACAUGGACGGAACUCAGGCGUCUGCAGGGUUCUACUGGGGCUGGCCCAGGCGGGGGGGGCCGCAGCUUGUAUGGGCGUCGCAGGCGGAACCCUGCAGGAAGGAUUGGUCGAGCAUGGAAGGGAUGUGGAGGGAGGUGCUGCCAACACGGCUCUGGCUGCCGAAGCCUGUGGGAGGGGUCUGGGGAUGCAGUGGGAUGGGGCCGAGAUCGUGAGGCCGCUCUUGG
rnacentral:lncRNA from 1 species